rnacentral:rRNA from 1 species
UACAGAGGGGGCAAGCGUUGUUCGGAAUUACUGGGCGUAAAGGGCGCGUAGGCGGCCUGUUAAGUCGAACGUGAAAUCCCCGGGCUCAACCCGGGAACUGCGUCCGAUACUGGCAGGCUUGAAUCCGGGAGAGGGAUGCGGAAUUCCAGGUGUAGCGGUGAAAUGCGUAGAUAUCUGGAGGAACACCGGUGGCGAAGGCGGCAUCCUGGACCGGCAUUGACGCUGAUGCGCGAAAGCCAGGGGAGCGAACGGGG